rnacentral:rRNA from 1 species
CUGCCCCGUGAUUAUUUAAAUGGCCGCGGUAUUUUGACUGUGCAAAGGUAGCAUAAUCAUUUGUUUUUUAAUUGUGGACUGGAAUGAAUGAAUUUACGGAAAUAGAAUUGUUUCCUUUUUUUUUUUUUAAUUUUCUUUUUAGGUGAAGAAGCCUAUAUUUUUAAAUAAGACGAGAAGACCCUAUUGAUCUUUAUUAUCAUUAUAAUAAUUUUUAUUUUUUUUUAUUGUAUUUUAAUUUAGUUGGGGCAACUGAGGAGGAGUUUUUAUUCUCUUUUAUUAAUAUAUUGAUCCUUUUUUUUGAUUAUAAGAAAAAGUUACCAUAGGGAUAACAGCGUUAUUAUUUUGGAGAGUUCUUAUCAAUAAAGUAGUUUGCGACCUCGAUGUUGGACUAGGAUUACCUGAGGGGGCAG